rnacentral:lncRNA from 12 species
GAACUUCUUUCAUGGCUCCCCAGCAUGCAGCAGCCAUACUAAGUCAGUUACAUACGGAGCAGGGACUUUAUUGCUAAAUUUACAACAUGGCAGAAGGCAGAUCAGAACUCAUGCUCACUGCAGGCUGAGACAUCCUAAAGAGAAAAGAAUGUGUGGAGGCGGGGCGGGGUAAUUUCGCCAAUCAUGUAAAUCACCCACACCUCCCCAUUAAGGAGGCUUGGGAGAGCAGAGUUACCAGAAUGAGAAGGAUUUUGACUGCUGAGGAUACUACGGAAACAUUAAAGUCCAUAACCCACCAUCAAAGAUUUAUGAAUCUGCAGCUCUAAAAGUCAUUUAAAACAAAAGUUUACUAAAAAUCAAGUUUGCAUUUGCUUCCUGCUGGAAUGAAUUGCUAAAGGGAACACACCACCCCGUGGAACAUAAUUGUACAAAGUAAACGCUCACUGAACAUAUCAGAUCUUUGCUAAAGUCACUUAUUGAAUGGCUGUCAUUGAAGAAUCAUUUUUGUUUUAAAUUCUCUUAAAAAGAAAAGCUUUUAGAUACAGGAACAUUUACUGCUGCCUAUAUAAAUCAAGUGUAAUAUUAUGUAUGUGUCUAAUGUAUUUUGUCCAUGCAUAUCUUAAAUGAAGCCAUCUGUAUUGUUCAUAUUCAAUGUUGAAUUAUUUUGACAUAAGUAAAUCGUUUCCUGGUUUUUAAUUUCAGUCAGUAUUUAUAAGAGAUGACAAAAGUUAGAU